rnacentral:rRNA from 1 species
UUAAGCGACUAAGCGUACACGGUGGAUGCCCUGGCAGUCAGAGGCGAUGAAGGACGUGCUAAUCUGCGAAAAGCGUCGGUAAGGUGAUAUGAACCGUUAUAACCGGCGAUGUCCGAAUGGGGAAACCCAGUGCAAUUCGUUGCACUAUCGUUAACUGAAUACAUAGGUUAACGAGGCGAACCGGGGGAACUGAAACAUCUAAGUACCCCGAGGAAAAGAAAUCAACCGAGAUUCCCCCAGUAGCGGCGAGCGAACGGGGAGCAGCCCAGAGUCUGAAUCAGCUUGUGUGUUAGUGGAACGGUCUGGAAAGUCCGACGGUACAGGGUGAUAGUCCCGUACACCAAAAUGCACAGGUUGUGAACUCGAAGAGUAGGGCGGGACACGUGGUAUCCUGUCUGAAUAUGGGGGGACCAUCCUCCAAGGCUAAAUACUCCUGACUGACCGAUAGUGAACCAGUACCGUGAGGGAAAGGCGAAAAGAACCCCGGCGAGGGGAGUGAAAAAGAACCUGAAACCGUGUACGUACAAGCAGUGGGAGCACCUUCGGGUGUGACUGCGUACCUUUUGUAUAAUGGGUCAGCGACUUAUAUUCUGUAGCAAGGUUAACCGUAUAGGGGAGCCGCAGGGAAACCGAGUCUUAACUGGGCGUUAAGUUGCAGGGUAUAGACCCGAAACCCGGUGAUCUAGCCAUGGGCAGGUUGAAGGUUGGGUAACACUAACUGGAGGACCGAACCGACUAAUGUUGAAAAAUUAGCGGAUGACUUGUGGCUGGGGGUGAAAGGCCAAUCAAACCGGGAGAUAGCUGGUUCUCCCCGAAAGCUAUUUAGGUAGCGCCUCGUGAACUCAUCUUCGGGGGUAGAGCACUGUUUCGGCUAGGGGGUCAUCCCGACUUACCAACCCGAUGCAAACUACGAAUACCGAAGAAUGUUAUCACGGGAGACACACGGCGGGUGCUAACGUCCGUCGUGAAGAGGGAAACAACCCAGACCGCCAGCUAAGGUCCCAAAGUCAUGGUUAAGUGGGAAACGAUGUGGGAAGGCACAGACAGCCAGGAUGUUGGCUUAGAAGCAGCCAUCAUUUAAAGAAAGCGUAAUAGCUCACUGGUCGAGUCGGCCUGCGCGGAAGAUGUAACGGGGCUAAACCAUGCACCGAAGCUGCGGCAGCGACACUAUGUGUUGUUGGGUAGGGGAGCGUUCUGUAAGCCUGCGAAGGUGACCUGUGAGGGUUGCUGGAGGUAUCAGAAGUGCGAAUGCUGACAUAAGUAACGAUAAAGCGGGUGAAAAGCCCGCUCGCCGGAAGACCAAGGGUUCCUGUCCAACGUUAAUCGGGGCAGGGUGAGUCGACCCCUAAGGCGAGGCCGAAAGGCGUAGUCGAUGGGAAACAGGUUAAUAUUCCUGUACUUGGUGUUACUGCGAAGGGGGGACGGAGAAGGCUAUGUUAGCCGGGCGACGGUUGUCCCGGUUUAAGCAUGUAGGCUGGUUGUCCAGGCAAAUCCGGAUAAUCAAGGCUGAGGUGUGAUGACGAGGCACUACGGUGCUGAAGUAACAAAUGCCCUGCUUCCAGGAAAAGCCUCUAAGCAUCAGGUAACAUUAAAUCGUACCCCAAACCGACACAGGUGGUCAGGUAGAGAAUACCAAGGCGCUUGAGAGAACUCGGGUGAAGGAACUAGGCAAAAUGGUGCCGUAACUUCGGGAGAAGGCACGCUGGUGUGUAGGUGAAGCCCCUGCGGGUGGAGCUGAGACCAGUCGAAGAUACCAGCUGGCUGCAACUGUUUAUUAAAAACACAGCACUGUGCAAACACGAAAGUGGACGUAUACGGUGUGACGCCUGCCCGGUGCCGGAAGGUUAAUUGAUGGGGUUAUCCGUAAGGAGAAGCUCUUGAUCGAAGCCCCGGUAAACGGCGGCCGUAACUAUAACGGUCCUAAGGUAGCGAAAUUCCUUGUCGGGUAAGUUCCGACCUGCACGAAUGGCGUAAUGAUGGCCAGGCUGUCUCCACCCGAGACUCAGUGAAAUUGAACUCGCUGUGAAGAUGCAGUGUACCCGCGGCAAGACGGAAAGACCCCGUGAACCUUUACUAUAGCUUGACACUGAACAUUGAGCCUUGAUGUGUAGGAUAGGUGGGAGGCUUUGAAGCGUGGACGCCAGUCUGCGUGGAGCCAACCUUGAAAUACCACCCUUUAAUGUUUGAUGUUCUAACGUUGGCCCCUUACCGGGGUUGCGGACAGUGUCUGGUGGGUAGUUUGACUGGGGCGGUCUCCUCCUAAAGCGUAACGGAGGAGCACGAAGGUUAGCUAAUCCUGGUCGGACAUCAGGAGGUUAGUGCAAUGGCAUAAGCUAGCUUGACUGCGAGCGUGACGGCGCGAGCAGGUGCGAAAGCAGGUCAUAGUGAUCCGGUGGUUCUGAAUGGAAGGGCCAUCGCUCAACGGAUAAAAGGUACUCCGGGGAUAACAGGCUGAUACCGCCCAAGAGUUCAUAUCGACGGCGGUGUUUGGCACCUCGAUGUCGGCUCAUCACAUCCUGGGGCUGAAGUAGGUCCCAAGGGUAUGGCUGUUCGCCAUUUAAAGUGGUACGCGAGCUGGGUUUAGAACGUCGUGAGACAGUUCGGUCCCUAUCUGCCGUGGGCGCUGGAGAAUUGAGGGGGGCUGCUCCUAGUACGAGAGGACCGGAGUGGACGCAUCACUGGUGUUCGGGUUGUCAUGCCAAUGGCACUGCCCGGUAGCUAAAUGCGGAAGAGAUAAGUGCUGAAAGCAUCUAAGCACGAAACUUGCCCCGAGAUGAGUUCUCCCUGAGACUUUAAGUCUCCUGAAGGAACGUUGAAGACGACGACGUUGAUAGGCCGGGUGUGUAAGCGCAGCGAUGCGUUGAGCUAACCGGUACUAAUGAACCGUGAGGCUUAACCU